UACGUAGGGGGCAAGCGUUAUCCGGAUUUACUGGGUGUAAAGGGUGCGUAGACGGAGAAGCAAGUUAGUUGUGAAAUCCCUCGGCUUAACUGAGGAACUGCAACUAAAACUACUUCCCUUGAGUACUGGAGAGGAAAGUGGAAUUCCUAGUGUAGCGGUGAAAUGCGUAGAUAUUAGGAGGAACACCAGUGGCGAAGGCGACUUUCUGGACAGUAACUGACGUUGAGGCACGAAAGUGUGGGGAGCAAACAGG
rnacentral:rRNA from 1 species